CAUCAUCUAAUCAUGAAGCAUCAGCUCACAUGGUGUCCGUCCUCAAAGAGACCAAAACAAGGUAAAGGUCCAUGACGUGAGGUCUGGAUGUGGACCACAUGACUCCCUGUAGUGGUUUAGGUCUACUGGUCCUGCUGGUCCCCACUGACAAUCAACAGCUCAGUCUUUCAGCUCACUGUUUUCUUCACCAGUCAGUUUGGUUUAGUCCCAACAGGUCUCGCCAAGUCCUCCAUGGAGCUCUCCCUCCAUCACUGGACACUGCUGAAGGGCCCUGGAGCAAGAAACCCAGAACCUCCACCAGAGAGUCUGGUAGAAACACCUCAUCAUCAGCCUGAGACCCUCACCUUGCAUCAACAGAGGGACCAACAUCUUUGAAGUUUAGAGGAGGAUCCAUAGACCGGUUACUCUUCAUGGACACACAGCUGGGUCCAGGUCCAGGUCCUGGUCUCUGAUGGGUCCUGGUCACACAUGUAGAAGCAGAGUCAGUGAGUCAGAGACGUUGGGACAUGGAGACGAGUGGAGGACAGUUGGAGAUGGUCCUCUCACCUCUGAGCUUUGGUCUGGCUGUCAUGUUCCCCACACAGAGGGGCUUCAGAGGGAGGGACUCCGUCCUCUGGGUCCUCAGCCUGAUUCAUAGCAGAGUCCACACCUUCACACCUUCAUUACAUCACAUGUCAAUUAGCUGACGCUAAUUAGCCGCUUUACAACUUGCUGUAGAUAAGAACCAUUAUAAGUCCAAUGUAAGUGGUACAGUUAGUGUGUUAGUGGAGGUAGAGUCUGAAGAGGUGUGUCUUUAGUCUGAAGAUGUGAAGGCUCUCUGUGGUCCUGAUGUCUUCAGAGACCUCCUUCCACCAUUUAGGAGCAGGACAGCAAAGAGUGGAGAUCUAGUCGAGUGUUUUGCUCUCAGUGAGGAGGAACAAGCAGUUUAUCACAUGCAGAGCGGAGAGUGCGGGUCGGGGUGUCGGGUUGGACCAGGUCCUGGAUGUAAGCUGGACCCCAUCCAUUCACAGCACGGUACGUGAGCACCAUGUUUAGAGGACUUAGGAAGGUUAAAGAGCAGUGGAGCUGCUGCAUUGUGGAUGAGCUGCAGAGGUGGAAUGGUGGUAGCAGGAGACCUGCAGGAGAGAGUUACAGUAGUCAGACUGACGACGCUUCAUGAAUGAGACCAAUGAAUAAAAUGCAUUUAGUGUCCACCAGGAUACAGCCCUGAUUCUGACACUAUGUG
ensembl:lncRNA